rnacentral:lncRNA from 1 species
GCCGCCCAUCGUCUGGGAUGUGAGGAGCCCCUCUGCCUGGCUGCCCAGUCUGGAAAGUGAGGAGCAUCUCCGCCCGGCCGCCAUCCCAUCUAGGAAGUGAGGAGCGCCUCUUCCCAGCCGCCGUCACAUCUAGGAAGUGAGGAGCGUCUCUGCCCCGCCGCCCAUUGUCUGAGAUGUGGGGAGCGCCUCUGCCCCGCCGCCCCAUCUGGGAUGUGAGGAGCGCCUCUGCCCGGCCGAGACCCCGUCUGGGAGGUGACGAGCGUCUCUGCCCGGCCGCCCCGUCUGAGAAGUGAGGAGACCCUCUGCCUGGCAACCACCCCGUCUGAGAAGUGAGGAGCCCCUCCGCCCGGCAGCUGCCCCGUCUGAGAAGUGAGGAGCCUCUCCGCCCGGCAGCCACCCCAUCUGGGAAGUGAGGAGCGUCUCCGCCCAGCAGCCACCCCGUCCGGGAGGGAGGCGGGGAUAUAAGCCCCGAAAGGAAAGCCCUGAGCAGAGGAGGCCUCAGCUUGACCUGUCCCAGUGCGCCCUUGAAACUUUCCUCGCCUUCCACCUCCUGCUCAUCUGCUUCACAAGCUGUCGCUGUGGUGUCGGUUCGCAGGUCGUGGCCUCUCAUGGCCACGGUGCUUUUGGCCCUGCUCGUCUACCUGGGGGCGCUGGUCGACGCCUACCCCAUCAAACCCGAGGCUCCCGGCGAAGACGCCUUCCUGGGGUAGCUGAGCCGCUGCUACGCCUAUCCUCGCCACUACCUCAUCCUGGUCACUCAGCCGUCGUGAGCGCAGGCGCGGGGCGGGCGGAGCGGGACCCCUGGGGCUCUCCCCCUGCGGCCCCGCUCCACCGGGGGCGUGGCUAGAUCUGACCGCGCCCUUCCAGGCCCCGCCCUCAGGUAUGGGAAACUAGGCCGCCCGGUCGCGCGCCUCUCCAAAACGUUCUUCCCAGACUGCGAGGACCGCCUCGGCAGGUGGCGGUAAAAGCGCCCCCAUCAAGUCACAUAACAUCCUGCCUCCGAGAGCGCGGUCUGGCCCCACCCUGGUCCAUCACUUACGACGUCUCCCAGGCUUGCCUCCCCGGAUCGGAUUCCUUUCCCUUCGAUCCCGCAGGCCGGAGGCGCAGACCUGUGGUGAGGACACCCGAGGCCUCCUGGGAGACCUGCAGACCACGCCCACCUCAUUUACAUGUUCACUCCCGACCCUGGAAACCCGGAUUUCGCCUCCGGACAGCGGCGUCUGGGCAGGGUUCGGGUACUGCAGUCCCGCGUCUGGAUGCCCCCGCCCCCUGAGCUGCAGGGCUGUGUGUGGUCCUUCCCUGGUCCCAAAAUAAAGAGCGAAUUGCACAGAAACGGAA